AGUAGCCCAGAGUCUAUAAGUGAGGGAGGAGCCUGGGAGACCAGGGGUCAUGGGAAUUGAAAGUGGGGAAAUAUUUGGCCCUGAGCCCACCCUGUGGACUCCAGCUCCCCACUUUCCUGCCCACUCUGGUCCAGAGGGAAAUGUUUCCCCUGUCAGGACUUCAAGGGGGUAAUUCACUCACUCCCUCACCUACCAAACAUUAAGCACCCACGAUGUGCCAGCCCCUGCCUUCAUGGAGCUCACAGUUUAAGUCAACAGGAUGGACAAGUCAACAGGCAAAUAGGAUGCUGAGUGACAAGAAAAGUGCUGGUUGUUUCCCAUUUUCUUCCAUCCAAGAGGUAGCCUAGCUGCUCCACAUGGGUCCGAGGGGAGGCCCCAGUGAGCAUCCCUCACCAGGCCCUCCUGGCUUUCCUGGGUAUGGCAGCAGUCUAUAGAGAUCAGAAGAUCUGGGUUCUACAUGAAGCUCCACACUGCAGGGACUUUUGGGCUCCCUGGCAAGAGAGAGAGAUUCAGGAAGGAAGGAUCCUGAGGGUGCUGUCAGGGGCUGAGGUCAUCCUGUCUCUUAAGCAGAGCUAUUCACAGAGUGGUCCCUGGACCCGCAGCGUCAGCAUCUCCUGCAAACUUAUUAGAAAUACAAAGCCAUGGGCCCCACCCAGAUCUGCUGAAUCAAAUUCUCGGGGAUUGGGGCCCAGAAAUCUGUAUUUUAACAAGAAUCCAGGUGGUUUCAUUUCGCAUGAAAGUUUGAGCUGCAUUGUUUAAACGACUGGGUGAAAUUGGUUCAAAUCCCAAGUAUCUUCCUGUGGGAAGGCGGAGCCCAGUCUAGCUCCCUCUCUUGGUUUUUGUAAAUUUCAAAGGCUUUCCUAGUCACCAAUGGCUCUGAUUUGGGGGGCUUGGUAAUUCUUGUGAUCUUUUUGGUGCCCUGGACCUUUAUCUUGACCUUGGUUACAACCCAGAUAUGGGACACAAGCUCUUUUUGAUCUACCUUUUUGCACUUUCACACCUCCCAAAUACAGCUCACAUGAGGUCAAUGUGCAUAAUAGAUUUUCCCUUGGGAUUUGAGGGUGCAUCAAGGAGAGGAGCAUCACAGAACUGCAGACAGAUCAUUUAAAGUUGAAUAUUUCCCUUUCUUGCCCCUCAGCCGUUUCUAACAACUCAAGCCCCCAGUGAUGUCCCUAGGCCUUCUCUCUCCUUCCUUCCUUUUCUCUGCUCUAUAUCUGAUUUUCUAUGCAUUUAAUUUGCCAUGGAGCUUAACUCUCCCCUUGUUGGUUCCUUCUAAACCAGUGUUCCAGGAUCCCACCUUGCACCCCGCAAGAAACUCUGAUAUUUUCACAAACAAACAUAGUUCCUUCCCUAAGAGAAUCUCCGGUGCCAUCUGGUAAAAUAGUCAUUUUCCUUAUCCCUCUACAUUAGCAACUGGGCUUCUUACCUAUUCCUAAGGCGGCCCCUACAACCGUGGCCUUGACAAGCGCCUCCUCCUCUAGGCUGAAGCGUUGUGGUCUGCCCUUUCCACCCCAGCAUUACCCCGACCUGGGAAACUUCUCCUUGGCCUUGUGACUGACUUCAUUCUUAAGUGGAUGCUUCACCCCAUUAAACAAAUUCUUUAACAAUCUUUCCUUCCCUAGCUUGUCCUCUUUUAUUGUUGUAUUUCUCUCAAAGACCUUUGUUCAUUCAGCGAAGUCUUCUUUCUUCUUCUCCAUCCCUCAGUCCCUAAAUGCUGCCUUCUCCUGCCAGCUCUAACCAUUCCUUCCUAGCUGGCUUGUGGAAGCCAGGCCAUGAGCACUGCCUCAGUGGGGGUUCUUAUUCCCCUCAGGCUUGUACCUAUUUUCCAAACUAUUGAUUCUACUGAUGUUAUUUAAGCUUUCAGGCAAAAAAUGAAGGCAAACAAUGCUGCUUCAUCAUACUCACCCCAAAAUAAGCUUGUAAUGAGGCUCUCUCUCCAAUGGAAGGAGAACAGGUAUUUCACCAGAGUGGAGACUCUAUCCUCUGUGAAUAUGUAGGAGCACAGUCAACUUCUGUAGAUGGAUGGAUGUCUAAUGCUUUUUCUUAUCCUCACCCUCUUGACCUGUCAAUCAUCUGCAAGACUGUCAACCUUGUGCUCUCCUUUCACUCUCUCUUCAGGCUGGUCCUGGUGUUGGUUCCUUCCGAGGAUCUUCUCCUUCUAUUUUGGGCAUUCCUUUGAGUGUUCCUGUCAUAUAACAUGGGCACCUCCACUCCCCUCCCUAUUUCUCUUUGCCAGGAGUAGGCCCCAAGUCCAGAACCAAAAUGUCGAGGAUCAGGGAGGCAGAAUGAAGGGCGUGGAGGGCUGAGCCCUGGCCAUGCAUCGUGUCAUCUGGAAAAACCAAGCAUUGGCUGCUUCUCAAGAGCAGGUCCUUCAGAGCACGUCAACUGGCAGACAGAGAUGAGAGUGGGCUCUUUUGCACAAAUAAGCAAGGCUCCUCCUCCCUAUGACCUCUCCUUGGUCAGGAGAUGCCACAUCCUUGAAGUGACAACAAUCCUUUCCUUCGCUCACAUUUUCCUGGUGUGGAGACCAAGAGGGCCUGAUCAUUUGCAAACACUUCUUUCCAGUUGAUAACAGACAUUGGACCCGUGAGGAUCUUCAGAUUCAUGAGGAAGAGGAGGAGCCUCACCUGGGAAACAUCUGCCAGGUGAUCCUUUCCUCCCAGUUCCUCCCGUGGCUUCUACUCGUUCUCUCAGGAGGAUCUUAUCUGCAGUGUUAACAGCAAGAACUCCGGAGCCAGCCUGCCUGGUGGGAACCCCAGCUCUGCCACUGUGAGCAAGGCACAUGAAAACAUCUGCUGCUUUUGGACUUUCGGGACACCAUUGGAUUAAUCAUGUUUGCAAAAUACCUCAAAACGGAGUAGAAACCCAGCAAGAUUGCUACUCUUAAAUGGAGGACUCUGUGGUCCAGUCUGGAGGGAGCUUGUGCUGUAACUAUCGCCAUCUGCUGGUGGGAGGCUGAGCUGAUGUGAUCUGAGCGACGUGAUAGAGUGUUGUUUGUAUCUAGGCUUGACCCAGUGUUCUUUCUGCUACAUCAGAUCACCUGGCAGGAUAGCUUCUCAAUGUGGAGGAAAAUGACACAUGGCUUCUCUUUGCGGAAGGGACUGUAAAAGUGGAAAAAGAUGAGGAAACUGAGACCUAUAGGAGGUACAAGAUUUACCCAAUAUCACAAGACAGGUCACUCAAAAGAAAAUAUAAGGACCAAGGAAGCAAUCCAUAUUUGUCAGGCAAGGAGCGGACCUGGUGUUAAGAAGUCCUCGGGGGGGGCUGGCCCCGUGGCCGAGUGGUUAAGUUCGCGCGCUCCGCUGCAGGCGGCCCGGUGUUUCGUCGGCUCGAGUCCUGGGCGCGGACAUGGCACUGCUCCUCAGGCCACGCUGAGGCAGCGUCCCACAUGCCACAACUAGAAGAACCCACAACGAAGAAUACACAACUAUGUACCGGGGGGCUUUGGGGAGAAAAAGGA
ensembl:lncRNA